rnacentral:rRNA from 1 species
UUAAGCGACUAAGCGUACACGGUGGAUGCCCUGGCAGUCAGAGGCGAUGAAGGACGUGCUAAUCUGCGAUAAGCGUCGGUAAGGUGAUAUGAACCGUUAUAACCGGCGAUUUCCGAAUGGGGAAACCCAGUGUGUUUCGACACACUAUCAUUAACUGAAUCCAUAGGUUAAUGAGGCGAACCGGGGGAACUGAAACAUCUAAGUACCCCGAGGAAAAGAAAUCAACCGAGAUUCCCCCAGUAGCGGCGAGCGAACGGGGAGCAGCCCAGAGCCUGAAUCAGUGUGUGUGUUAGUGGAAGCGUCUGGAAAGGCGCGCGAUACAGGGUGACAGCCCCGUACACAAAAAUGCACAUGCUGUGAGCUCGAUGAGUAGGGCGGGACACGUGGUAUCCUGUCUGAAUAUGGGGGGACCAUCCUCCAAGGCUAAAUACUCCUGACUGACCGAUAGUGAACCAGUACCGUGAGGGAAAGGCGAAAAGAACCCCGGCGAGGGGAGUGAAAAAGAACCUGAAACCGUGUACGUACAAGCAGUGGGAGCACGCUUAGGCGUGUGACUGCGUACCUUUUGUAUAAUGGGUCAGCGACUUAUAUUCUGUAGCAAGGUUAACCGAAUAGGGGAGCCGAAGGGAAACCGAGUCUUAACUGGGCGUUAAGUUGCAGGGUAUAGACCCGAAACCCGGUGAUCUAGCCAUGGGCAGGUUGAAGGUUGGGUAACACUAACUGGAGGACCGAACCGACUAAUGUUGAAAAAUUAGCGGAUGACUUGUGGCUGGGGGUGAAAGGCCAAUCAAACCGGGAGAUAGCUGGUUCUCCCCGAAAGCUAUUUAGGUAGCGCCUCGUGAAUUCAUCUCCGGGGGUAGAGCACUGUUUCGGCAAGGGGGUCAUCCCGACUUACCAACCCGAUGCAAACUGCGAAUACCGGAGAAUGUUAUCACGGGAGACACACGGCGGGUGCUAACGUCCGUCGUGAAGAGGGAAACAACCCAGACCGCCAGCUAAGGUCCCAAAGUCAUGGUUAAGUGGGAAACGAUGUGGGAAGGCCCAGACAGCCAGGAUGUUGGCUUAGAAGCAGCCAUCAUUUAAAGAAAGCGUAAUAGCUCACUGGUCGAGUCGGCCUGCGCGGAAGAUGUAACGGGGCUAAACCAUGCACCGAAGCUGCGGCAGCGACACUAUGUGUUGUUGGGUAGGGGAGCGUUCUGUAAGCCUGUGAAGGUGUGCUGUGAGGCAUGCUGGAGGUAUCAGAAGUGCGAAUGCUGACAUAAGUAACGAUAAAGCGGGUGAAAAGCCCGCUCGCCGGAAGACCAAGGGUUCCUGUCCAACGUUAAUCGGGGCAGGGUGAGUCGACCCCUAAGGCGAGGCCGAAAGGCGUAGUCGAUGGGAAACAGGUUAAUAUUCCUGUACUUGGUGUUACUGCGAAGGGGGGACGGAGAAGGCUAUGUUGGCCGGGCGACGGUUGUCCCGGUUUAAGCGUGUAGGCUGGUUUUCCAGGCAAAUCCGGAAAAUCAAGGCUGAGGCGUGAUGACGAGGCACUACGGUGCUGAAGCAACAAAUGCCCUGCUUCCAGGAAAAGCCUCUAAGCAUCAGGUAACAUCAAAUCGUACCCCAAACCGACACAGGUGGUCAGGUAGAGAAUACCAAGGCGCUUGAGAGAACUCGGGUGAAGGAACUAGGCAAAAUGGUGCCGUAACUUCGGGAGAAGGCACGCUGAUAUGUAGGUGAAGCGACUUGCUCGUGGAGCUGAAAUCAGUCGAAGAUACCAGCUGGCUGCAACUGUUUAUUAAAAACACAGCACUGUGCAAACACGAAAGUGGACGUAUACGGUGUGACGCCUGCCCGGUGCCGGAAGGUUAAUUGAUGGGGUCAGCGCAAGCGAAGCUCUUGAUCGAAGCCCCGGUAAACGGCGGCCGUAACUAUAACGGUCCUAAGGUAGCGAAAUUCCUUGUCGGGUAAGUUCCGACCUGCACGAAUGGCGUAAUGAUGGCUAGGCUGUCUCCACCCGAGACUCAGUGAAAUUGAACUCGCUGUGAAGAUGCAGUGUACCCGCGGCAAGACGGAAAGACCCCGUGAACCUUUACUAUAGCUUGACACUGAACAUUGAGCCUUGAUGUGUAGGAUAGGUGGGAGGCUUGGAAGUGUGGACGCCAGUCUGCAUGGAGCCGACCUUGAAAUACCACCCUUUAAUGUUUGAUGUUCUAACGUUGACCCGUAAUCCGGGUUGCGGACAGUGUCUGGUGGGUAGUUUGACUGGGGCGGUCUCCUCCUAAAGAGUAACGGAGGAGCACGAAGGUUGGCUAAUCCUGGUCGGACAUCAGGAGGUUAGUGCAAUGGCAUAAGCCAGCUUGACUGCGAGCGUGACGGCGCGAGCAGGUGCGAAAGCAGGUCAUAGUGAUCCGGUGGUUCUGAAUGGAAGGGCCAUCGCUCAACGGAUAAAAGGUACUCCGGGGAUAACAGGCUGAUACCGCCCAAGAGUUCAUAUCGACGGCGGUGUUUGGCACCUCGAUGUCGGCUCAUCACAUCCUGGGGCUGAAGUAGGUCCCAAGGGUAUGGCUGUUCGCCAUUUAAAGUGGUACGCGAGCUGGGUUUAGAACGUCGUGAGACAGUUCGGUCCCUAUCUGCCGUGGGCGCUGGAGAACUGAGGGGGGCUGCUCCUAGUACGAGAGGACCGGAGUGGACGCAUCACUGGUGUUCGGGUUGUCAUGCCAAUGGCACUGCCCGGUAGCUAAAUGCGGAAGAGAUAAGUGCUGAAAGCAUCUAAGCACGAAACUUGCCCCGAGAUGAGUUCUCCCUGACUCCUUGAGAGUCCUGAAGGAACGUUGAAGACGACGACGUUGAUAGGCCGGGUGUGUAAGCGCAGCGAUGCGUUGAGCUAACCGGUACUAAUGAACCGUGAGGCUUAACCUU